CGUCGACACAACAACUUUUGCUGAGUGUUGAAGUGAAGAAUUUCUCAACAUCUACCAACUUUGGGAAAAGCCUCGAAACAAAACAAGCGUCGAGAGGGAACGCUACGAAAAUCGAAAAUUUUGUUGCUACGAAAAUCACUG